rnacentral:lncRNA from 1 species
AGUUAUUUACACUCUUUUUCAAGCUUCGAAGCUGUUAUAAUCAUUCGCUGUCAACUUUGUGCUGACGCUGAAUUUUACUUUGUGUUUUUUAUGCUCGGUUUGGGUCUAAAAUACUGGCAUCCAUACCCUACACUGUAAUUCCAUGGAUGACUGAGCUGGCCAGCCGUAUCCUGCCUGACUAACAGGGCCCGGGAAUCCUGCUACAUAUGGAAAUUUCAGGAUUUGUUGAUUGUGGACAAUAAACAGAGUCCUCCAGCUUUGUGCAUUUAUCCAGGCAGUGGCCCUCAAGAAUAAGCUGUGUACCCUGUUUCAUCUCAAUGCAUUUUCAUCUUUAAGAACAGCAGCAAAUAUGGUGCUUUGGACUCUUGGCAAGAACACUGGCAAAAUUCCAACGAGCCAGUCUUUUUGGAAGACUUUGAUCCCGGCCAACAUGGUCUACUCUUUCAAUUAAAAAAAUUAAAAAGUGAAGAAAAAGUCACAGUAUAUUAUGAUUCUCAGGUGGGGUCACACCCACAGUACAUUUGGCAGAGUUCCAUCUGUCCCCUGAGAGACAAGAAUCUUGCCUAGAGCUGUCUUUUAUCACUAAAAAACUUCAAGUCAGGAUCACAGAGGUCUCAUAUACGUCAUUGAGAGCAUGGCUUUCCUCUGAACUUGGCAGGUGAAAUGGGUUGACUCCUACCUUCUUCUGGGAUCCAUGCCAAAUCCCUGUGGAGGGCUGGAUGGUUUUCUCGGGGAAAACUCAAGGAGCCACCGAGGGUAGGAUUAUGGGGUGGCAGGUAUGGUGGGAAGAUAGAGGAAUUGUAAUUUGUGAAGGAAAAUUAAGGGAAAAAGAACUCUCUUCUCAUUUUUAAAACUCAGCUACCAUCACUUUACGUGCCCUGACACUGUGAUCUGUGCUUCUGGGUUUAAUGCUGCUGUUCUGUCUGGCCUGCAGCAUUAGGGCAUGAAACUUCCAAUGGAAUUUGCCAGAUGAUUAACGAGUUGGUCAGAACAGAAAGCUAAUAAACAUUAUUUUUUUUCUAGUAGUAUUUUCCUA